UACGAUUAGUUUUGCAGAUUUGCAGUUCAGCGUAUAUGUGAAUAUAUGGCUGUGCAAAUCCAUGCAAAACUGAUUGUGGG
rnacentral:pre_miRNA from 7 species